AAGCAAGAGAGCGAUCUGGAGCAAAACUCUAAAAAACAAUCUCAGUUCAGAUUGCAGGCUGCAACUCGCCUGCAUGAAGUCGGAAUUGCUAGUAAUCGUAGGUCAGCAUACUACGGUGAAUACGUUCCCGGGCCUUGUACACACCGCCCGUCAAACCAUGAGAGUUGGCAACACCCGAAGUCGGUAGUCUAACCGCAAGGAGGACGCCGCCGAAGGUGGGGUUGAUGAUUAGGGUUAAGUCGUAACAAGGUACC
rnacentral:rRNA from 1 species